AACGCACCUUGCGCUCCUUGGUAUUCCGAGGAGCAUGCCUGUUUGAGUGUCAUUAAUAUAUCAAUCUCUUCAGCUUUUGGCUUGUUGAGUGUUGGAUGUGGGGGUUUUUUUUGCUGGUCUUCUCAGAUCAGCUCCCCUGAAAUGCAUUAGCAGAACAAUUUGUGGAUCGUUCAUUGGUGUGAUAACUAUCUACGCUAUUGACGCGAAGCAGUUCAGCUUCUAACAGUCCAUUGACUUGGACAAAUUUCAUUAAUGUGACCUCAAAUCAGGUAGGACUACCCGCUGAACUUAA
rnacentral:misc_RNA from 1 species